UACGUAGGGUGCAAGCGUUGUCCGGAAUUAUUGGGCGUAAAGAGCUCGUAGGCGGUUUGUCGCGUCGGCUGUGAAAUCCUGGGGCUCAACCCCGGGCCUGCAGCCGAUACGGGCAAACUAGAAUUCGGUAGGGGAGACUGGAAUUCCUGGCGUAGCGGUGAAAUGCGCAGAUAUCAGGAGGAACACCGGUGGCGAAGGCGGGUCUCUGGGCCGAUAUUGACGCUGAGGAGCGAAAGCGUGGGGAGCAAACAGG
rnacentral:rRNA from 1 species